AUACGGAGGGUGCAAGCGUUAAUCGGAAUUACUGGGCGUAAAGCGUACGUAGGCGGUUCGUUAAGUUAGAUGUGAAAGCCCCGGGCUUAACCUGGGAACUGCAUUUAAGACUGGCGAACUAGAGUUGAGUAGAGGGGAGUGGAAUUUCAGGUGUAGCGGUGAAAUGCGUAGAGAUCUGAAGGAACACCAGUGGCGAAGGCGACUCCCUGGACUCGAACUGACGCUGAGGUACGAAAGCGUGCGUAGCAAACGGGAUUAGAUACCCCAGUAGUCC
rnacentral:rRNA from 1 species